rnacentral:lncRNA from 1 species
AUGGCAGAAUUACGUGUGUGUAUGGCAAACUACGUAUGUAACAUUCCUGUAAUCUUCAAUAAAAAUCAGCCGUUUUCAGCAGAACGGCGAGAGUCUGUCCGAAGCAUCUGGCAAGAGCAGGUCGCGGGACUUGCUGCAGAGACUCUCCCCCUCAUGAACGGCGAGAGUCUGUCCGAAGCAUCUGGCAAGAGCAGGUCGCGGGACUUGCUGCAGAGGCUCUCCCCCUCAUGAGCGGCGAAACAGUGAAUGGACUUCUGAUCAUUUGUCUCCUCGUUCUGUCAACUUAAAAGGUGUUUAACUCCAUCUACUCCGUACCCGUGCUUGGUCUAACGGAAGAGAGACCAACACCACACAUUUUAAAUAGAUUUGGACUGACCUCACCAACUCAAAUAGAAAUCCAUUGUUUUUCCGACAGUUGAUGCAUCAAGCCCACACAUAUUGCAGACUAAAAACAGCUGUUUCAUAGCAACACCAUAAAUCCACAUUGUCAUCAAGGGCACACGGGAUUCAUUGUCAAUUAAAUGAGAAGAGUUGGAUGCUUUCUUUUUUAUGUAUUUCCCUGCUCAAAAUGCAUCACCCCUUGCAGCAAGAUAAUUUCCAAAGAAGCAAAAAUUUCUCUUCCACUCAUAUUAUGGAGCCAUUUCUUUCAGAGAUGCCCUGGAGUUAACCUCACGUCCUUAUCGACGAUUACCUCGAUGGUCUGUGUGCCUUCAAAACGGAAAAUUUAACUCCACAUGCUCUUGAUGAUGCCCACACAUUUUUUUAUUCUCCCCAGUAAAUCACUCUGAGUGCUGUUCUUGUUCCAACAUGGAAAAACUGUAAGCGAUUGAGUUACCUCACACAAUAGUGCAGCACUUUACCGAUCCUUUCUUUUGCACAUUCGGUGCCAUCAGCAAGUUUCUUGACCUCCAAAGCAGAAGCAUUUGACACACUGACAAAUAUUCACCGUAUUGUUCAGCUGUGGAAAAAAAAUUUUUUAACAACUUGAUCUGUAGUUGUGCUGUCUGUCACAAUGUUUCCACAGGAAGUUCUUGCAGGCUUUUGUGCAAACAUCUAAUCAACAUCAGAUGCAGUCCUGACCUCGACACAUGCUGUGUGCAAAAGCUAUUUCCCUUGCAAGUGUCCAAAAUAACUUGUGAAAGUUUGCCCAUUCCCUUGUGCAAAGCCCCAGUUUAUUUGCACCACAGGGGGUGCAGAAACAUUCUCCCUUGUGGCAUCACCCAGCACCAUCUGCAGCUUCCCUCACAGCGCUUGGCAGGGCCCACAGCGACUCCCUUAUGAGCCCUUCCAGCCAUUUUCUGGCAGGUCAGUUCCAUCUCAUCCAGCUUUUUUUUCCUUAGAUAACGGAGAAUGUCUUUGAACCACACAAUGCCAAGAAGAUUUGAGUAAUGCACUGGUAGAAAUAUAUAUAUAUAUUUUUUUUAGCUGAGUAGCUUCUACCACAGACCCCUAUGUAUGUUUUAAACCCUGUAGCAUCUGCUAAUGUUGCCAUCAAGGGGGUGAAAGACUCUUAGGACAGAUGGGUAAAAUGAAGGGCAUGAGUGAUUAAUAACAUGUGGUGUAGCAAACAAGCCAGACCUUUAAAACUUUAUGGGUUGACCUCAUCAGAAAUGACUUUUAUAUAGUUUCAUUUUGCCAGGUGCAAUUUAAGAGGGAGCGUAUAGAACUGUAGCUAAACAACCACAUUCCCAGUAUAAUGCACUUAAAAAAUAUUAAAGGCCUGGCACUUGGAACACACAUAACCAACCACUUAUUAUUAUUAUUAUUCUGUGCUAAGAAAUUAUUGAUUCAUAGCUAAUUUUGAUUAAUCUGAAUUAAACAUUUACACUUGAUCCUCUUCAGUCUGUAAGUAUUAUUUUCAACCACAACAAAAUGAAAAUUUAGACCAUUUGGAUAGGGUAAUUAAAAAAACUAUCUGCAACUGCAAAUAUAAAUCAAAUAAUACUAUUUUUAGUUUAAUUAAAAACUGGUGGCAGGUGUAAAAUUACAUUUAAUGCAGCAUUCUACCGGUCGAUUCAACGGUUAAUCUUCAUUCCAUGUGUCAUAUUCCAGCCCGGUCCACCCUCAUCACCAUGACAACCACAGCCUGCUCUCCUUAGACUCAUCUGCCACACCUGCUCCCAGUAAUCAAGCUCAUACUACUCACCUGUUUCACCUGCUGUAUAUACCCAAGCCAACCAUCAACUCCCUGCCAGUUAGGUGCAAUGAGAUCCUCCCUGAUGUGUGCACUCCAAGUUGAAACAGAUGAAAUGCCUUUAGAGCUAAGGAGACUGCAGAUGUCAUUGCCAUAUUUUGUCUAUUUGGAAGGGAGCAAAGAAGAUCAUCCUACUAGAAAUGUUUUUAUUCCAACAUGGUAUCGGUUGAAAGGCAAAAUAGAAUAAUUUGGUGUGAAUGUGUUGGACAACGCUGAGAUGGCUGGAGUGGGUAACUUGGUGCUUGGUCCAUCUGUUCUUCAUCUGCCAUAAGGUUGGUUUAUGCUUGACGCGUCCGCGCGGAAAAGUUGCGUCAUUUUGCGUCAUUUUAACAACCACGCCCCUCCUCCGCGCCUCCGCACGGCCCAGAAUUUC